AUGGAAAAUCGGUAGGUGAGGCUACCAUAAGGAUACGGAUGACUACCGCAAAGCAGUGGAGACACUACUCGUUGGUCAACAGUCCUGAUCGCCAAGGUCAAGACUAAGCUCAUUUCAUCGCCUUAUGGAGUUAAAGCUUGAACGGUAAAUGCUUACU
rfam:Streptococcus sp. oral taxon 056 str. F0418 Noncontiguous_Finished_Chromosome, whole genome shotgun sequence.